ACAAAAAGGCCUAUUGGGCCAACACUCGAGACUCGGGGCGGGUAUUGGGUGACCCAUUUUCUUCCACAACUCCGCCGCAUCAAUUCACUGUCCGUCGCGAAACCUCCAUUGAAAUGCUCGUGAGUGAGCUCAGAAGAACCAUAGAAGAAGAAGAAGGCUUAACAAAUGUCUGCCAUAUUCAGAUACAAAUCAAAGCUCCACACUUUUACCUUCAGAACAUCUCUUUUUUCCAUAUCGUCUUCCAAAUUUCAUUCCUCUACUUCUUCCUCUUCUCUCAAACCUAGAAGAAAACUCUCGCUCCUCUUCAACCCAUUUGAAGGUUCUAGAGUAGGGCUAGUGUUUAGAUUCGAGGAUUCUAGACUAGGGUUAGGGUUUAGGCAUAAAUGGGAGGGAAGUUCCGACAACUACGAUCACAUAAAAUCAGAGGUGAACUGCCCACGCUGUUCGAAGAUGAUGACAGUGCUAUUCUCUAACAGGCCGUUGUCGAUCACCGCCGGGGAGACUGGAAUUUACCAGGCGGUGAAUUUGUGUCCUCAUUGCCGGACAGCGUUUUACUUUAGACCGUUUAAAUUGGAGCCUUUGCAAGGGACUUUCAUUGAGAUUGGGAGGGUUAAGGGAGGUGAAAAGGAGAGUGAAGAUGAAAUGGCUGGGAGUUCUGGGAAGAAUGAUGGCAAGAUUUGGGAAAAGUUGAGGUCUUAUAGUGGGACCAAUGGCAGUGAUGAUGGUGGACAGGGUAGUUGUGAAACUGAAAUGAAGGAUUCGGAGGCGAGAAAGGAAGAAGGGUGGGGAGGUACUGAUUUGGGGAUAGAGUUGCUUACACCAAAGGAGAUAUGUAAAGGGCUUGAUCAGUUUGUUGUUGGGCAAGAGAGAGCCAAGAAGGUGCUUUCUGUUGCAGUUUACAACCAUUAUAAACGAAUAUACCACUCCUCUUUGAAUAAAAAGUCAGAUUCUCGUAAAGUUAGAGAUGAGCUGGAAAGUAUUGAUAAUGAUUCGGUCGAAUUAGAGAAGAGCAAUGUUUUGCUGAUGGGCCCCACUGGCUCAGGGAAAACAUUACUUGCCAAGACACUUGCUCGUCUCAUCAAUGUUCCUUUUGUAAUUGCGGACGCAACAACUUUAACACAGGCCGGUUAUGUCGGAGAGGAUGUGGAAUCCGUAUUAUACAAAUUACUCGAGGCUGCUGACUUCAAUGUCGAAGCAGCUCAGCAGGGGAUUGUCUACAUAGACGAAGUUGAUAAAAUAACCAAAAAGGCUGAGAGCCUGAACAUUGGCAGAGAUGUAUCUGGGGAGGGCGUCCAACAGGCGCUGCUGAAGAUGCUUGAAGGAACAAUUGUAAGUGUACCUGACAAUAGAGCACGGAAGCAUCCACGUGGCGAUACUAUUCAGAUAGACACAAAAGAUAUCCUUUUUAUCUGUGGUGGAGCUUUUGUUGGUUUAGAGAAGACAAUUUCAGAAAGACGACAAGAUUCUUCAAUCGGAUUUGGAGCACCUGUUCGAACUAACAUGAGAGUUGGUGGUCUAACUGAUGCUGUAGUCACAUCAUCACUUUUGGAAUCUGUAGAAAGUGAUGAUCUCACUUCAUAUGGACUCAUACCUGAAUUUGUGGGACGGUUUCCAGUUUUAGUGAGUUUAUCUUCCCUUGAUGUGGAUCAGCUUGUUCAGGUUCUCACAGAACCCAAAAAUGCUCUUUGCAAGCAAUACAAGCAAAUGUUCAACUUGAAUAAUGUCAAAUUACAGUUUACCGAGAAUGCACUUCGACUUAUUGCCGAGAAAGCCAUUGCCAAAAACACUGGUGCACGAGGCUUAAGAUCUAUACUAGAAAGUAUUUUGACUGAAGCCAUGUUUGAGGUUCCUGGAAGCAAGCCAGGCGAGGAAUCUGUAGAGGUUGUCUUGGUUGAUGAAGAGGCUGUCGGAACAGCUGAUACAAUUGGAUGUGGAGCAAAAAUUCUUCAUGGUAGCAGUGGGCUGGAGAAUAUUUCCCCUACUACUGGAUCUUCAAUGACAAUGGAAAAGAAUGAAGCAACAAAAGAAGACUUGGACUCAGAGUCUGAGGAUCCGGCAAGAGCCUUGAGCUUGUGAUCUCAGUGGACGAUGCUAAAAAUUAUGCUGUUCUGUUUUCAUUCCUAUCUGAGCAACAGGAGAUAUAUGGAUUUUGCACAAGUUGGAUUCGGCAUUCUACAAUCACAUAAUAGAACAUCAACUUUCUCUUUGGAGAUUAGUUAGAGCUUUGGUUGAAGUUUAUUCAUGAAAAUACUCGCUCAACCACAUCUACCUUAACUUUUCAAUUCCAAGGAAUGAGUGCAUGAGCUGAGUUCAAGUUCGGUUAUAAUAAUCUUUGCCCGCUUUACAAGCAGCUUCAUUGUCAAUUCUGGAGGAUGAGGUUGACUUGCUGUGUAGGGGGGAUCAUUUAUGGUUACCAGUCGUGUCAAUGGCAAGGAAUAAAUUGAAGUGCUUACUCAAAAAACAAAAUGCAGCACAAUUGCAUAUACAACCUCUCUCUCUCUGAGUUGUAUGUAUUCACGUUGAGGGUUUCUCAUGGAUGUAGAUUUGUACAGUAGCUAUUUUCAAGAAAUUAGUCACUUAAGCAUCAGAAAGGACCUUGGUUGGUUCAUCUCGAUCCGUUAGUGAUGUCUCUUCUUGAUCUUGUCUAGUGAAGGUUUCUCGAGUUUAGAGGUUAAAUAAGGAUAGUUGAGUUGGUGCAGCACGUGGUAUUAUGUCAUAGGAGCAAAUUUUGUUCAUCUGACUGCAAGAUAUUUAUGUUCCCUA